CGCUGGCGGCGUGCCUAAUACAUGCAAGUCGAGCGAACGGACGAGAAGCUUGCUUCUCUGAUGUUAGCGGCGGACGGGUGAGUAACACGUGGAUAACCUACCUAUAAGACUGGGAUAACUUCGGGAAACCGGAGCUAAUACCAGAUAAUAUUUUGAACCGCAUGGUUCAAAAGUGAAAGACGGUCUUGCUGUCACUUAUAGAUGGAUCCGCGCUGCAUUAGCUAGUUGGUAAGGUAACGGCUUACCAAGGCAACGAUGCAUAGCCGACCUGAGAGGGUGAUCGGCCACACUGGAACUGAGACACGGUCCAGACUCCUACGGGAGGCAGCAGUAGGGAAUCUUCCGCAAUGGGCGAAAGCCUGACGGAGCAACGCCGCGUGAGUGAUGAAAGUCUUCGGAUCGUAAAACUCUGUUAUUAGGGAAGAACAUAUGUGUAAGUAACUGUGCACAUCUUGACGGUACCUAAUCAGAAAGCCACGGCUAACUACGUGCCAGCAGCCGCGGUAAUACGUAGGUGGCAAGCGUUAUCCGGAAUUAUUGGGCGUAAAGCGCGCGUAGGCGGUUUUUUAAGUCUGAUGUGAAAGCCCACGGCUCAACCGUGGAGGGUCAUUGGAAACUGGAAAACUUGAGUGCAGAAGAGGAAAGUGGAAUUCCAUGUGUAGCGGUGAAAUGCGCAGAGAUAUGGAGGAACACCAGUGGCGAAGGCGACUUUCUGGUCUGUAACUGACGCCGAUGUGCGAAAGCGUGGGGAUCAAACAGGAUUAGAUACCCUGGUAGUCC
rnacentral:rRNA from 1 species